rnacentral:ncRNA from 1 species
GAUAACUGGCUUGUGGCAGCCAAGCGUUCACUGCGACGUUGUCGCUUUUUUAUCCUUCGAUGUCGGCUCUUCCUAUCAACGUGAAACAUAAUUCACUAAGCACUGGAUUGUUCGCCCGCUAACAGGGAACGUGAGCUGGGAUUCGACGGUCGUGAGAUAGGAU